GACGAACGCUGGCGGCGUGCUUAACACAUGCAAGUCGAACGGUGAAGCUCCAGCUUGCUGGAGUGGAUCAGUGGCGAACGGGUGAGUAACACGUGAGCAACCUGCCCCUGACUCUGGAAUAAGCGCUGGAAACGGCGUCUAAUACUGGAUACGAGAAGGGUCCGCAUGGGCACUUUCUGGAAAGUUUUUCGGUUGGGGAUGGGCUCGCGGCCUAUCAGCUUGUUGGUGAGGUAAUGGCUCACCAAGGCGACGACGGGUAGCCGGCCUGAGAGGGCGACCGGCCACACUGGGAAUGAGAAACGGCCCAGACUCCUACGGGAGGAAGCAGUGGGGAAUAUUGAACAAGGGGCGAAAGCCUGAUGAAGCGAGGCGGGGGGAGGGAUGACGGCCUUCGGGUUGUAAACCUCUUUCAGAAGGGAAGAAGCGAAGUGACGGUACCUGCAGAAGAAGCACCGGCUAACUACGUG
rnacentral:rRNA from 1 species